rnacentral:rRNA from 1 species
GACGGAGGGUGCUAGCGUUGUUCGGAAUCACUGGGCGUAAAGGGCGCGUAGGCGGCCUGAUAAGUCGGGGGUGAAAUUCUGCGGCUUAACCGCAGGACGGCCUUCGAGACUGUCGGGCUUGAGCACGGUAGAGGCUGGUGGAAUUCCCGGUGUAGCGGUGGAAUGCGUAGAGAUCGGGAAGAACAUCGGUGGCGAAGGCGGCCAGCUGGGCCGUUGCUGACGCUGAGGCGCGACAGCGUGGGGAGCAAACAGG